rnacentral:misc_RNA from 1 species
GAUGAAGAACGUAGUGAAAUGCGAUACGUAGUGUGAAUUGCAGAAUUCCGUGAACCAUCAAAUCUUUGAACGCAUAUUGCGCUCGAGGCUUCGGCCGAGAGCAUGUCUGCCUCAGCGUCGGUAUUACCCCUCGCUUCUCAACCCCUGGUUGAUGCCUGCCUGCCUUUGCAGUUGGCUAGAAGCGGAUCUGGCUUUCCCAAUUGCCUUUGGUAGUUGGGUCAGCUGAAGCACAGAGGCUUGAGCAAGGACCCUUAUUGGGCUUCAACUGGAUAGGUAGAACUGGUCUUAGGACCAACUACACGAAGUUGUUGCUCGUGGUCUUUUGUCUGGAGGCCAGCAGGAAACCUUUAUACCUUCGACCUGAGCUCAGGCAAGAUUACCCGCUGAACUUAAGCAUAUCAAUAAGCGGAGGA